rnacentral:rRNA from 2 species
GACGAACGCUGGCGGCGUGCCUAAUACAUGCAAGUAGAACGCUGAAGAGAGGAGCUUGCUCUUCUUGGAUGAGUUGCGAACGGGUGAGUAACGCGUAGGUAACCUGCCUUGUAGCGGGGGAUAACUAUUGGAAACGAUAGCUAAUACCGCAUAACAAUGGAUGACACAUGUCAUUUAUUUGAAAGGGGCAAUUGCUCCACUACAAGAUGGACCUGCGUUGUAUUAGCUAGUAGGUGAGGUAAUGGCUCACCUAGGCGACGAUACAUAGCCGACCUGAGAGGGUGAUCGGCCACACUGGGACUGAGACACGGCCCAGACUCCUACGGGAGGCAGCAGUAGGGAAUCUUCGGCAAUGGGGGCAACCCUGACCGAGCAACGCCGCGUGAGUGAAGAAGGUUUUCGGAUCGUAAAGCUCUGUUGUAAGUCAAGAACGGGUGUGAGAGUGGAAAGUUCACACUGUGACGGUAGCUUACCAGAAAGGGACGGCUAACUACGUG